ensembl:lncRNA
CUGGCUCUCAUGAGGACCACCACAGGAAAGGAAGACCCAGAGUUCUCUCUGCUGCAGAGGAUAAGUUAAUUUAAGUUACCAGCCUCAGAAAUCAUCAAUUAACUGCACCUCAGAUUGUUCAAGUAACACACAUCUCAACAUCAGCUUUUCAGAGGAGACUACGUGAAUCAGUCCUUCAUGGACGAAUUGCUGCAAAGAAAACACUGCUAAAGGACACCAAUAGGAAGAAGACUUGCUUGGGCAAAGAAAGAUGAUCAAUGGACAUUAGACUGGUGGAAAUGUAUUUUUAUCUGAUGUUUCCAAAUUUGAGAUUUUUGGUUUCAACUGCCGUGUCUUUGUGAGAGGCAGAGUAGGUGAAUGGAUAUCUCUGCUUGUGUGGUUCCCACCGUGAAGCAUGGAGGACGAGGUGUGAUGGUGUGAGGGCGCUUUUGCCGGUGACAUUGACAAUGACUCAAUACACCUCCAGGCUGUGUAAGGGGUCUUUGACCAAGAAGGAGAGUGAUGGAGUGCUGCAUCAGAUGACCUGGCCUCCACAAUCACUCGACCUCAACCCAAUUGAGGGUUGAAAAAGCAAGUAAUCAGCAUAUGUGGGAACUCCUUCAAGGCUGUUGGAAAAGCAUUCCAGGUGACUACCUCGUGAAGCUGUUUGAGAGAUUGCAAAGCUGUCAAUAAGGCAAAGGAUGGCUACUUUGAGGAAUCUAAAAUAAAACCAAAAAAUUACAGAAAAGUUUUACUUUCACUUUUACGUCAUGUCUGCUAGGUAGGCAGGCGUAAGACCGCCACAGUGAGUCAACAUACUACAAACAGUCGGUAGCUACAAACAAACUAGCAAAAUGACUUCUAAGAAAAGGCUCACACUUCAUAGUGUCACUUUGACAGAAGCGAUACUCUGCGCAGUAUCAUCAUAGGUCAUGUAGGUUAUUCUGUUGCACAGGUUGUUGUCUGGGUGGCACAAAACUCUUCUUUUAAAGAUGCACUUGUGUUUAUUACACGUUACUGGUCUGUUAUGUGUGCUGAUUACAAACGAGGAUAUCACAAGUCAAUACAGCAUAAUCUUACGACACUGCUAAUAAAAACACAGAUACCUUAAAAAAAUGGAGGGGCGUGGAUCAGAAAACCAGUCAGUAUCUGGUGUGACCUCCAUUUGCUUCAUGCAGCGCAACACAUCUCCUUUGCAUAGAGUUGAUCAGACUGUGGAAUGUUGUCCCACUCCUUUUCAAUGGCUGUGCGAAGUUGCUGCAUAUUGGCGUGAACUGGAACUGGAACACAUCGAUCCAGAGCAUCCCAAACAUGCUCAAUGGGUGACAUGGCUGGUGAAUAUGCAGGCCAUGGAAGAACUGGAACAUUUUCUGCUUCCUGCAAUUGUGUACAGAUCCUUGCGACAUGGGGCUGUGUAUUGUCAGACUGAAACAUUAGGUGAUGGCGGUGGAUGAAUGGUACGACAAUGUGCCUCAGGAUCUUGUCACGGUAACUAUGCAUUCAAAUGGCCAUAGAUAAAAUGCAAUUGUGUUCAUUGUCUUUAGCUUUCGUCUGCCCAUACCAUAACUCCACCGCCACCAUGGGGCACACUGUUCACAAGGUUGAUGUCAGCACAGCUU